CAAUAGCGUAUAUUAAAGUUGUUGCGGUUAAAAAGCUCGUAGUUGGAUUUCUGCCGAGGACGACCGGUCCGCCCUCUGGGUGCGCAUCUGGAUCGGCCUGGGCAUCUUCUUGGGGAACGUGUCUGCACUUGACUGUGUGGUGCGGUAUCCAGGACUUUUACUUUGAGGAAAUUAGAGUGUUUCAAGCAGGCGCACGCCUUGAAUACAUUAGCAUGGAAUAAUAAGAUAGGACUUUGGCACUAUUUUGUUGGUUUCUAGAGCCGAAGUAAUGAUUGAUAGGGUUGGUUGGGGGUGCUAGUACUCAACGGCCAGAGGUGAAAUUCUUGGAUUCGUUGAAGACUCACUUAUGCGAAAGCAUUCACCAAGGACGACUUCUUUAAUCAAGAGCGAAAGCUGAGGGCGCGAAGAUGAUCAGAUACCAU
rnacentral:rRNA from 1 species